GAUGAACGCUGGCGGCGUGCCUAAUACAUGCAAGUCGAGCGAACAGACGAGGAGCUUGCUCCUCUGACGUUAGCGGCGGACGGGUGAGUAACACGUGGAUAACCUACCUAUAAGACUGGGAUAACUUCGGGAAACCGGAGCUAAUACCGGAUAAUAUAUUGAACCGCAUGGUUCAAUAGUGAAAGACGGUUUUGCUGUCACUUAUAGAUGGAUCCGCGCCGCAUUAGCUAGUUGGUAAGGUAACGGCUUACCAAGGCAACGAUGCGUAGCCGACCUGAGAGGUGUACCGGCCCACCUGAACCUGAGCCCCGGCCCAGACCCCUACGGGAGGCAGCCGUAGGGAAUCUUCCGAAAUGGGCGAAAGCCUGACGGAGCAACCCCGGGGGGUUGAUGAAGGUCUUCGGAUCGUAAAACUCUUUUAUUGGGGAAAAAAAAAUGUGUAAGUAACUAUGCCCGUCUGGACGGUACCUAAUCAAAAAGCCACGGCUAACUACGU
rnacentral:rRNA from 1 species